AGCAGCCGCGGUAAUUCCAGCUCCAAUAGCGUAUAUUAAAGUUGUUGCAGUUAAAAAGCUCGUAGUUGAAUUUCGGGGUCAAUAAGUUGGUCGUGCCAAUGGUAUGCACUGGCUUUAUUGAUUCCUACCUCUUGACGAACUGUGAUGCCAUUAAUUUGGUGUCGCAAGGAAUCAGGACUGUUACCUUGAAAAAUUAGAGUGUUUAAAGCAGGCUUACGCUUGAAUACAUUAGCAUGGAAUAAUGAAAUAGGACGUUUGAACCUAUUUUGUUGGUUUCUAGGAUCGACGUAAUGAUUAAUAGGGAUAGUUGGGGGCAUUAGUAUUCAAUUGUCAGAGGUGAAAUUCUUGGAUUUAUUGAAGACUAACUACUGCGAAAGCAUUUGCCAAGGAUGUUUUCAUUAAUCAAGAACGAAAGUUAGGGGAUCGAAGACGAUCAGAUACCGUCGUAGUCUUAACCAUAAACUAUGCCGACUAGGGAUCGGAUGAUGUUAAUUUUUUAAUGUA
rnacentral:rRNA from 1 species